GACGAACGCUGGCGGCGUGCUUAACACAUGCAAGUCGAACGGAAAGGCCCUGCGUUUUUGGGGUGCUCGAGUGGCGAACGCGUGCGUAACACGUGAGUAACCGGCCCUUGACUUUGGGAUAACUUCAGGUAACUAGGGCUAAUACCGGAUAGGAUCUCCUGCUGCGUGGUGGGCGGUGGAAAUUUUCGGCGGGUGGGGAUGGACGCGCGGCUUAUCAGCUUGUUGGUGGGGUAGUGGCUUACCAAGGCUGUGACGGGUAGCCGGCCUGAGAGGGUGACCGGCCACAUUGGGACUGAGAUACGGCCCAGACUCGUACGGGAGGCAGCAGUGGGGAAUAUUGCACAAUGGGCGGAAGCCUGAUGCAGCAACGCCGCGUUCGGGAUGACGGCCUUCGGGUUGUAAACCGCUUUCGCCUGUGACGAAGCGUGAGUGACGGUAAUGGGUAAAGAAGCACCGGCUAACUACGUG
rnacentral:rRNA from 1 species